UACAGAGGUCUCAAGCGUUGUUCGGAUUCAUUGGGCGUAAAGGGUGCGUAGGUGGCGCCGUAAGUCAGGUGUGAAAUCUCGGGGCUCAACCCCGAAACUGCACUUGAUACUGCGGUGCUCGAGUACUGGAGAGGAGAUUGGAAUUUACGGUGUAGCAGUGAAAUGCGUAGAUAUCGUAAGGAAGACCAGUGGCGAAGGCGAAUCUCUGGACAGUUACUGACACUGAGGCACGAAGGCCAGGGGAGCAAAC
rnacentral:rRNA from 1 species